UACGAAGGGUGCGAGCGUUGUUCGGAAUUACUGGGCGUAAAGGGUUUGUAGGCUGAAAUGUAAGUCAAGUGUGAAAUCCCCGAGCUAAACUUGGGACGUGCAUUUGAAACUGUGUUUCUUGAGUAUCGUAGAGGGUGGUGGAAUUGUAGGUGUAGGAGUGACAUCCGUAGAGAUCUGCAGGAACAUCAGAGGCGAAGGCGACCACCUGGCCGAUUACUGACGCUGAGGAACGAAAGCGUGGG
rnacentral:rRNA from 1 species